rnacentral:rRNA from 1 species
GGGGGCAAGCGUUAUCCGGAUUUAUUGGGCGUAAAGGGUGUGUAGGCGGUUUAAUAAGUCUAUGGUAUAAGUUCAACGCUUAACGUUGUGAUGCUAUGGAAACUGUUUGACUAGAGUUGGAUAGAGGCAAGUGGAAUUCCAUGUGUAGCGGUAAAAUGCGUAAAUAUAUGGAGGAACACCAGUAGCGAAGGCGGCUUGCUGGGUCUUAACUGACGCUGAGGCACGAAAGCGUGGGGAGCAAACAGGAUUAGAUACCCUGGUAGUCCACGCCGUAAACGAUGAGUACUAAGUGUUGGGUUAAACCAGUGCUGAAGUUAACACAUUAAGUACUCCGCCUGAGUAGUACGUACGCAAGUAUGAAACUUAAAGGAAUUGACGGGACUCCGCACAAGCGGUGGAUCAUGUUGUUUAAUUCGAAGAUACACGAAAACCUUACCAGGUCUUGACAUACUCUGCAAAGCUAUAGAAAUAUAGUGGAGGUUAUCAGGGAUACAGGUGGUGCAUGGUUGUCGUCAGCUCGUGUCGUGAGAUGUUGGGUUAAGUCCCGCAACGAGCGCAACCCUUAUCGCUAGUUACCAUCAUUUAGUUGGGCACUUUAGUGAGACUGCCAAUGAUAAAUUGGAGGAAGGUGGGGAUUACGUCAAAUCAUCAUGCCCCUUAUGACCUGGGCUACAAACGUGAUACAAUGGCUGUUACAAAGAGUAGCUGAAGCGUGAGUUUUUAGCAAAUCUCAAAAAAACAGUCUCAGUUCGGAUUGAAGUCUGCAACUCGACUUCAUGAAGUCGGAAUCGCUAGUAAUCGCGAAUCAGCAUGUCG